rnacentral:rRNA from 1 species
GUCUUCUUGGUAGAAUAAGAAGUCUGACCUGCCCAGUGAAAUAUUUUAACGGCCGCGGUAUAUUGACCGUGCAAAGGUAGCAUAAUCAUUAGUCUUUUAAUAGAGGGCUGGAAUGAAGGGUUUAACGAAGUACUUACUGUCUCAUUUAAUUUGAUGUUAAAAUUUACUUUUUCAGUCAAAAAGCUGAAAUAUUAUUGGAAGACGAGAAGACCCUAUAGAGCUUUAUAUUUAAUUAUUUAAUAAAUUUUUGUAUUAAUUAUUAUUUAUUAUUUAAUAAAAUAUUUUGUUGGGGUGACAAAAAUAUAUAAUUAACUUUUUUAUUUAUAUAACAUUGAUAUAUGGAAAAUAGAUCCAGUUUUACUGAUUAUUAGAAUAAGUUACCUUAGGGAUAACAGCGUAAUCUUCCUUUAGAGUUCAUAUUCACAGGGAGGCUUGCGACCUCGAUGUUGGAUUAAGAUUAUUAUUAGGUGUAGCCGCUUAAAAAAUAGGUCUGUUCGACCUUUAAAUUCUU